rnacentral:rRNA from 1 species
CUGGCGGCUUGCCUAUUACAUGCAAGUCGAGCGCAGUUUUUCUGGUGCUUGCACCGGAUAACCUUAUCGGCGAACGGGUGAUUGUCACCUAAAGAGCCUGCCUCAUAGACUGGGACAACUAUUGGAAACGAUAGCUAAUACCGGAUGACAGGGUUAACUGCCUGGGUGAUGUUUAAAAGUUGGUUUUGCUAACACUAUGAGACUGCUUUGCGGUGCAUUAGCUAGUUGGUGGGGUAAAGGCCUACCAAGGCGACGAUGCAUAGCCGACCUGAGAGGGUGAUCGGCCACACUGGGACUGAGACACGGCCCAGACUCCGACGGGAGGCAGCGGUAGGGAAUCUUCCGCAAUGGGCGAAAGCCUGACGGAGCAACGCCGCGUGAGUGAAGAAGGAUUUCGGUUCGUAAAGCUCUGUUGUUAGGGAAGAAUGAUUGUGUAGUAACUAUACACGGUAUAGACGGUACCUAACCAGAGAGCCACGGCUAACUACGUGCCAGCAGCCGCGGUAAUACGUAGGUGGCAAGGCGUUGUCCGGAAUUAUUGGGCGUAAAGCGCGCGCAGGGUGGUUUAAUAACUCUGAUGUGAAAGCCCACGGCUCAACCGUGGAGGGUCAUUGGAAACUGAUAAACUUGAGUGCAGGAGAGAAAAGUGGAAUUCCUAGUGUAGCGGUGAAAUGCGUAGAGAUUAGGAGGAACACCAGUGGCGAAGGCGGCUUUUUGGCCUGUAACUGACACUGAGGCGCGAAAGCGUGGGGAGCAAACAGGAUUAGAUACCCUGGUAGUCCACGCCGUAAACGAUGAGUGCUAAGUGUUGGUCUCAUAAGAAAUCAGUGCUGCAGCUAACGCAUUAAGCACUCCGCCUGGGGAGUACGACCGCAAGGUUGAAACUCAAAGGAAUUGACGGGGACCCGCACAAGCGGUGGAGCAUGUGGUUUAAUUCGAAGCAACGCGAAGAACCUUACCAAGUCUUGACAUACUGUGAGGACACAAGAGAUUGUGUUGUUCUGACCUUUGGUUAGACACAGAUACAGGUGGUGCAUGGUUGUCGUCAGCUCGUGUCGUGAGAUGUUGGGUUAAGUCCCGCAACGAGCGCAACCCUUAUAUCUAGUUGCCAGCAGUAAGAUGGGGACUCUAGAUAGACUGCCAGUGAUAAACUGGAGGAAGGUGGGGAUGACGUCAAAUCAUCAUGCCCCUUAUGACUUGGGCUACACACGUGCUACAAUGGAUAGGAACAAAGAGAAGCGAGCUCGCGAGAGUAAGCAAACCUCACAAAACUAUUCUCAGUUCGGAUUGUAGUCUGCAACUCGACUGCAUGAAGCUGGAAUCGCUAGUAAUCGCGAAUCAGAAUGUCGCGGUGAAUACGUUCCCGGGUCUUGUACACACCGCCCGUC